rnacentral:snRNA from 1 species
GGCUAUGAUGGCAACCAGGAUGCUCCAUUGAUCAUGAGGGUUAAUUUGGCUGAUUGGACAAGCUAGGUGGGCACCUCCUUCCUCCCUCACCAUGCCACGUGCAGCCCUCCUGAAGCUGUGUGCUCCAUGGAAGAGGACAGCCACACCCAAGGAGAACUGGUCUUCUGUCAAGGAUAUAGGAAUAGCUGUUUUCUCCUGCUAGAAUCUCCAAACAAGUACUCAAACUUUGUAGUCAAGCUCCCAAGACUACAGACACAUCCAAAUGAGGUGUGGCAUGUGGCAGUCUACCUUUAAAG